rnacentral:rRNA from 1 species
UACGUAGGGGGCUAGCGUUGUCCGGAUUUACUGGGCGUAAAGGGCGCGUAGGCGGCCAGCGCAAGUCAGUUGUGAAAUCUCCGGGCUUAACUCGGAACGGUCAACUGAUACUGUGCGGCUAGAGUGCAGAAGGGGCAACUGGAAUUCUUGGUGUAGCGGUGAAAUGCGUAGAUAUCGUAAGGAAGACCAGUGGCGAAGGCGGGUCUCUGGACAGUUCCUGACGCUGAGGCACGAAGGUCAGGGGAGCAAACGGG